rnacentral:rRNA from 1 species
UACGUAGGGUGCGAGCGUUGUCCGGAAUUAUUGGGCGUAAAGAGCUUGUAGGCGGUUUGUCGCGUCUGCUGUGAAAAUCCGGGGCUCAACCCCGGACUUGCAGUGGGUACGGGCAGACUAGAGUGUGGUAGGGGAGACUGGAAUUCCUGGUGUAGCGGUGAAAUGCGCAGACAUCAGGAGGAACACCGAUGGCGAAGGCAGGUCUCUGGGACGGUACUGACGCUGAGACGCGAAAGCGUGGGGAGCGAACAGG